GUGUCAGCCGCCGCGGUAAUACGAAGGGGGCUAGCGUUGCUCGGAAUCACUGGGCGUAAAGGGUGCGUAGGCGGGUCUUUAAGUCAGGGGUGAAAUCCUGGAGCUCAACUCCAGAACUGCCUUUGAUACUGAAGAUCUUGAGUUCGGGAGAGGUGAGUGGAACUGUGAGUGUAGAGGUGAAAUUCGUAGAUAUUCGCAAGAACACCAGUGGCGAAGGCGGCUCACUGGCCCGAUACUGACGCUGAGGCACGAAAGCGUGGGGAGCAAAUAGGAUUAGAUACCCCUGUAGUCC
rnacentral:rRNA from 1 species